rnacentral:rRNA from 1 species
UACGGGGGGGGCAAGCGGUUGUUCGGAAUUACUGGGCGUAAAGGGCGUGUAGGCGGGUAGAUAAGUCGGGCGUGAAAUCCCUAGGCUCAACCUAGGAACUGCACUCGAAACUGUUUAUCUUGAGUGCCGGAGAGGAAAGCGGAAUUCCUGGUGUAGAGGUGAAAUUCGUAGAUAUCAGGAGGAACACCAGUGGCGAAGGCGGCUUUCUGGACGGUAACUGGAACG